rnacentral:rRNA from 1 species
GAUGAACGCUGGCGGCGUGCCUAAUACAUGCAAGUCGAGCGAACGGACGAGAAGCUUGCUUCUCUGAUGUUAGCGGCGGACGGGUGAGUAACACGUGGAUAACCUACCUAUAAGACUGGGAUAACUUCGGGAAACCGGAGCUAAUACCGGAUAAUAUUUUGAACCGCAUGGUUAAAAGGUGAAAGACGGUCUUGCUGUCACUUAUAGAUGGAUAGGCGCUGCAUUAGCUAGUUGGUAAGGUAACGGCUUACCAAGGCAACGAUGCAUAGCCGACCUGAGAGGGUGAUCAGCCACACUGGAACUGAGACACGGUCCAGACUCCUACGGGAGGCAGCAGUGGGGAAUCUUCGACAAUGGGCGAAAGCCUGACCGAGCAACACCGCGUGAGUGAUGAAGGUCUUCGGAUCGUAAAGCUCUGUUAUUAGGAAAGAACAGAAGUGUAAGUAACUGUGCACAUCUUGACGGUACCCAAACAGAAAGCCACGGCUAACUUCGUG